rnacentral:rRNA from 1 species
CGUGUAGGCGGCAGCGCAAGUCGGGCGUGAAAUCCCACGGCUCAACCGUGGAAGUGCACUCGAAACUGCGCAGCUAGAGUCCUGGAGAGGAAGGUGGAAUGCUUGGUGUAGAGGUGAAAUUCGUAGAUAUCAAGCGGAACACCGGUGGCGAAGGCGGCCUUCUGGACAGUGACUGACGCUGAGACGCGAAAGCGUGGGGAGCAAACAGGAUUAGAUACCCUGGUAGUCCACGCCGUAAACGAUGAGUGCUAGGUGUCACGGGCUUUGACCCUCGUGGUGCCGAAGCUAACGCGUUAAGCACUCCGCCUGGGGAGUACGGCCGCAAGGCUAAA